AGUGAACGCUGGCGGUAGGCCUAACACAUGCAAGUCGAACGGCAGCACAGUAAGAGCUUGCUCUUACGGGUGGCGAGUGGCGGACGGGUGAGGAAUACAUCGGAAUCUACUUUUUCGUGGGGGAUAACGUAGGGAAACUUACGCUAAUACCGCAUACGACCUACGGGUGAAAGCAGGGGAUCUUCGGACCUUGCGCGAUUGAAUGAGCCGAUGUCGGAUUAGCUAGUUGGCGGGGUAAAGGCCCACCAAGGCGACGAUCCGUAGCUGGUCUGAGAGGAUGAUCAGCCACACUGGAACUGAGACACGGUCCAGACUCCUACGGGAGGCAGCAGUGGGGAAUAUUGGACAAUGGGCGCAAGCCUGAUCCAGCCAUACCGCGUGGGUGAAGAAGGCCUUCGGGUUGUAAAGCCCUUUUGUUGGGAAAGAAAAGCAGCAGAUGAAUACCCCGCUGUUCUGACGGUACCCAAAGAAUAAGCACCGGCUAACUUCGUG
rnacentral:rRNA from 1 species